AUUGAACGCUGGCGGCAGGCCUAACACAUGCAAGUCGAGCGGAUGAGGGGAGCUUGCUCCUGGAUUCAGCGGCGGACGGGUGAGUAAUGCCUACGAAUCUGCCUGGUAGUGGGGGAUAACGUCCGGAAACGGGCGCUAAUACCGCAUACGUCCUGAGGGAGAAAGUGGGGGAUCUUCGGACCUCACGCUAUCAGAUGAGCCUAGGUCGGAUUAGCUAGUUGGUGGGGUAAAGGCCUACCAAGGCGACGAUCCGUAACUGGUCUGAGAGGAUGAUCAGUCACACUGGAACUGAGACACGGUCCAGACUCCUACGGGAGGCAGCAGUGGGGAAUAUUGGACAAUGGGCGAAAGCCUGAUCCAGCCAUGCCGCGUGUGUGAAGAAGGUCUUCGGAUUGUAAAGCACUUUAAGUUGGGAGGAAGGGCAGUAAGUUAAUACCUUGCUGUUUUGACGUUACCAACAGAAUAAGCACCGGCUAACUUCGUG
rnacentral:rRNA from 1 species